GGUGUGCCCUAGACCUGGCUAUUAUAGUGUUUUCAAUACUACUGGUUGAAUCUCUCUUUUUUUAAAUUUUUUAUUUAUUUUAGUUAUUUUAAAUAUAUGUGAGAUUUUGGACUCCCCUGGAGUUACAGGCAGUUGUGAGCCACCUAAUCUGGGUGCUAGAACCGGAACUUGAGUCUUCUAGAAAAACAGCAAACAUGUUCCCCAACUGCCAAGCCACUAACCAAGUCUCUCCCCCAUCCCCCUACCCCCCCCCCCUCUUUUUUUUUGAAAUAGGAUUUCAGUCUGUAGCCCCAGUUGGCCUGGAACUCACCAUGUGGCUAUGCUGGCCUUGUACUGAUUCUGCUGCCUCUGCCUCUCCACUGCUAGGAUUAUAUGCCUGUGCCACCUCAGCUGGGUCUCCAUGCCAGAGUAUUUUGUGGCAGGGCAAAUGAACAGAUUACAGCUAAUGGAGAACAGUGUGGCUAUGUCUUAGGGUUAUGGUCAUGCACAACAAUUAAGGACAGCUCAAGUCUGAGGAUGUAGCUUAGUUGAUGUGUGCGUAGCCUGCAUCAGUCACGCUCUGCGGCCAAUCCUCGGCACCCCGUAAGCCUGGUAUGGUGGCUCAUGCCUAUAACCCUAGCACUCAAGAGGUAGAAGCCAGACGUUCAAGGUCACCCUCAGGAAUGUAACUGAGUUUGAGGCCAGCCUGGGCUACAUGAGACACCAUCUCAAAAAAGCAACACAAUACAACAAAACGAAAAGAGACACCCAGAGAAGAACCUUACAGUAAGGCUCACAAGUCAGCGAUGUCUCCCAGCAUGCCAAGCUCAGGUGAAGGGGAGGAGGCCGUCCAGACAAGAGUCAUGCAAGGCAUGUGUGUGGACCCUGCUGAGAAUGGGCUUCAGUCUCAGGUCAGCCCACAAGGCUGUGUGGCCUGAUUCCAUUCAGUAGCCUCGGGAGACUGUUCUCCUAGGGGAGGUGUGCUGAUUAGUGCUUAGCACAGGCCUGCCUUUUGAGAAGUAGGGCCAGUGUCAGAGAGCUCAUAAACUAGGACUACAUACCAACCCAAAGUAGGACCCCGCAAGGCAGAGUGACACUGGGUGACAGGCCAGAGCAAGAUCUGAGGACAUUCUCCCAGGGUCCCCCGAAGCCUUUGUAUGCCUCUGCUGCCUGCCCAUCUGCCUGUUCCCAGCAUCCCCACAGGUGGGUCAACACUCAACUUCCUCACCUGCUGUGCAAGGCAUGUGGAGGCCGGAGAACAGCCUCACUUAGGUCUCCAUCUGUUCUUUGAGACAGAACCUCUCUCUGGCCCAGAACUGGACUCAGACUGGGCCGACUGGCCAUGGAGCCCCAGGGAUCCAGCUGUUGCUGCUUCCCCAUGGCUGGGAUUACAGUUGUGCCCCUCCUAACUUUUGUGGGUUCUGGUGGUAAAACGGGAGUCCUCAUGCUUGUGUGGGAAGCCCUUUUCUAAUGGAGUUGUCUCCUUGGCCCCUUGGUUUUGAGGAUAGAACGCCGUGUAGCCCAGACUGGCCUCAAACUCCCUAUGUAGCUGAGGGUACCCUUGAACUCUGCCUCUCGAGUUCAGGUGUGUACCAUCUCGGGUCUUAAUGGCGGACUAUUACAUGACAGGAAACACUGCCACCAUGUUAUUGCAGCAGUCAAUGCUGAAAUGGCACGGAAGUAUACUACACCCUGUGUACCAUGCAUGUACUUUCUGCCUCUACCUCCCAGUUGCUGGGACUACAGGUGUGCACCACCACAUCUGUGUCAGAGAUGGAGCCUCCAGUUUAUUUACUGCUGUCUAGAGUCCAGGACCCUCCUAAACGUACAGGGGACACAGUCCUAGACACCCCCAGUGGAUGCCUGAAGCUCAGUUAGUUCCCAACCCUGUGUAGACUGUUUUCCCAGUGAGAACCUAUGGUGGGGUCAACCUCACAGGCUAGGCACAGAGUUCCCUGCUGCAGCAAGCGUAUGCCACUAGGAAGACUUGUGUUCCAGGCGUCUGCCCACAAGAUGAAUACCUUUCCACCUUUGUUCAAACUGUCAUCCUCCUGCCUCAGCCUACUCAUGCAGGGACUGCAAGCCUGCUCCACUUCACAGGGUGCUUCAGUCACCUUACCCAAGCAUUUGUCUCACACAGUGAGAGUAACUCUUUUUUUUUUCCCACAGCACUCUGGGCAUGCCGUGUUUUUGUUAUCUUUUUUUUUAAUUAGGUAUUUAUUUCAUUUACAUUUCUAAUGCUAUCCCAAAAGUCCCCCACACGCUCCCCCAUUCACUCUCCCACCCACCCACUCCCACUUCUUGGCCCUGGCGUUCCCCUGUACUGAGGCAGAUAAAGUUUGCACGACCAUUGGGCCUCUCUUUCCACUGAUGGCCGACUAGGCCAUCCUCUGCUACAUAUGCAGCUAGAGACACGAGCUCUGGGAAGUACUGGGUAGUUCAUAUUGUUGUUCCAGGGGAGUAACUCUUACAGUUUGUGGUAAAACUGGCACAGAUUUCCUCUUUCUUUGUCAUGAUUCCAUGCAUAGAUUGGUUCUCACUAAUAAUUUUUUUUAAAAAAGAUUUAUUUAUUUUAUGUAUGUGAGUACACUGUAGCUAUCUUCAGAUACCAGAAGAGGGCACCAGAUCUCACUAUAGAUGGUUGUGAGCUACCAUGUAGUUGCUGGGAAUUCAACUCAGGACCUCUGGAAGAGCAGUAGUGCUUUUAACCACUGAGCCAUCUCUCCAGCUCCCCUCACUAAGAAUCUUGACGGACUGUGGCAUUUUUUCUAUUCUCUUCAUUGAACCUGAGCACUUUACCUUCUCACCGAAAGACAGCACUCUGUGGGCUGUGAGGUGGCUCCUCAGUUAACGACCUUGCCACCCAGCCCGAUGGCCUGGAUUGGCUCUCUGGGACCCAGAGAGUGGAAAGAGGGAACUGAUAAUCCCCACAGGGUUAUCCCCUGUCAUCCACAUGUGCUCCACGACCUGUGACAGACAGAUAGAGACAGACUGCACACGCACGCAUGCACAUGCCCUCACAUGUGUGCACACACUUAAAAAAAAUGU
rnacentral:lncRNA from 1 species